rnacentral:lncRNA from 1 species
CUUCUCAGAGGACAGUCAGACAAGACGUACGACCCUACAGUAUUGGUAGGCCGCAAGGGAACCCCUUUCCCACCCACACAAACAAGAUGGCGGGCCUACAGUUGAACCUCGACCUGAAUGAAUGGCAGAGCAUACUGUAUUCAAAUAAGGACAGAUAUGCGACUGUGUAACCAGAUGCCAAGAUUGAAUGAAACAAGAUAAAUACCUUGAUUAGAACAUGAUCAUUCAAAGGCUUCAUGUCUUUCAUUCACACCAUCGGUUUCUAAGAUGAAUAUAGUGCCAUCCUGACAUCCUCUUUGAGAACCAGAUGUCUGGAAUCAUUCAACGCCGACCUCAGUUCCAGCGUACUUUUGAAUAUACAGCUUGAACUCCAACCUGAAGUAGUAGCAAAUGCGCAUGUCAGCACGCGGGUUCUCUUUUCUUCCCAACAAAAAGGCAAAGUUUGCUUGUAUUAAGAACUAUGACACCACAACACAUAUACAAAUAAUUCAGAUGGGAACAGAAGUAAACGUGUAGGUUUGUGGGUCAAAUAGGCAGUACAAGUGCUUUGACAGCUACAUCUUGCAGUACCAGUAUGGCUAUAACUAGACUAGACUGGUUAUAUUACAAAUAGGUAAGGUAUAAAGCUCACUCUGUUUGUUUAAGAUGUGAUUUUCUUACUCAUAAACUGAGAUAAAAUGACCGCACAUGGCUUUCAAGUAAAACCUUUUCUUUUUCUGGCGCGGCCAAUUCUAAAGUGGGACAAGGGAUACAAAAUACUAAUGGAAUCAGUGAAUAGCUACGCCUGCUCACAUGGGAAUAUGUACCCAUAUAUGAUAAAGCUGUAUUGAAAACAACAGGCACCUAAGAUCUGACAUGUUCGCAAAGAACAUACCUGAAUGCUGACAUCAACUAUCUUAUCUCCACUUACCCUUCCUUCUGCAACAGCAACUACCUCACUGCCCUGAGGUAUGGACUGAGCAGUCGUAGGAUGCAAAAUUCCACCAGUUGUCUUCUCUCUUCUCCUCAGAACAGUUUAUCUUUACAAGCACUCUAUCAGACAAGGGCUUAACCGCUUAAGUGUUGUAUA